rnacentral:rRNA from 1 species
CCCUUAGAUGUUCUGGGCUGCACGCGUGCUACAUUGAUAUUGCCAAUAUGUCAUUCUUAUCCGAAAUGGAUUGGGUAAUCAAGUAAUGAAAUUUCAUGCUUGGAAUCGGUAAUUGCAAUUUUAUCGUGAACGAGGAAUUCCUAGUAAGCACUAGUCAUCAGCUAAUGUUGAUUAUGUCCCUGCCCUUUGUACACACCGCCCGUCGCUACUACUGAUUGGGUGUUCAAGUGAGAUGCUUAGACCCUUGUUGCAUGGUUCAUUAUUGUGCUCCGAAAGGAAAAAGUUUCAAGCUUGAGUGUCUAGAGGAAGUAAAAGUCGUAACA